AACGCUAGCUACAGGCUUAACACAUGCAAGUCGAGGGGAAACGACAUCGAAAGCUUGCUUUUGAUGGGCGUCGACCGGCGCACGGGUGAGUAACGCGUAUCCAACCUGCCCACCACUUGGGGAUAACCUUGCGAAAGUAAGACUAAUACCCGAUGAUAUCCCUAGACGACAUCUGAAAGGGAUUAAAGAUUUAUCGGUGAUGGAUGGGGAUGCGUCUGAUUAGCUUGUUGGCGGGGUAACGGCCCACCAAGGCAACGAUCAGUAGGGGUUCUGAGAGGAAGGUCCCCCACAUUGGAACUGAGACACGGUCCAAACUCCUACGGGAGGCAGCAGUGAGGAAUCUUGGUCAAUGGGCGCAAGGCCUGAACCAGCCACGUAGCGUGAAGGAAGACUGCCCUUAGGGUUGUAAACUUCUUUUAUAAGGGAAUAAAGUGAGUCUCGUGAGACUUUUUGCAUGUACCUUAUGAAUAAGGACCGGCUAAUUCCGUGCCAGCAGCCGCGGUAAUUCGGAAGGUCCGGGCGUUAUCCGGAUUUAUUGGGUUUAAAGGGAGCGUAGGCCGGAGAUUAAGCGUGUUGUGAAAUGUAGUGGCUCAACCUCUGCACUGCAGCGCGAACUGGUCUUCUUGAGUACGCACAACGUGGGCGGAAUUCGUGGUGUAGCGGUGAAAUGCUUAGAUAUCACGAAGAACUCCGAUUG
rnacentral:rRNA from 1 species